AACGAACGCUGGCGGCAGGCUUAACACAUGCAAGUCGAACGGGUGUAGCAAUACAUCAGUGGCAGACGGGUGAGUAACACGUGGGAACCUUCCUAGGGGUACGGAACAACUCAGGGAAACUUGAGCUAAUACCGUAUACGUCCGUGAGGAGAAAGAUUUAUCGCCCUUAGACGGGCCCGCGUCGGAUUAGCUAGUUGGUGGGGUAACGGCCUACCAAGGCGACGAUCCGUAGCUGAUCUUAGAGGAUGAUCAGCCACACUGGGGCUGAGACACGGCCCAGAGUCCUACGGGAGGCAGCAGUGGGGAAUCUUGGAAAAUGGGCGCAAGCCUGAUCCAGCCAUGCCGCGUGAGUGAAGAAGGUCUUCGGAUUGUAAAGCUCUUUUGCCAGGGGCGAUAAUGACGGUACCUGGAGAAUAAGCCCCGGCAAACUUCGUGCCAGCCGCCGCGGUAACAC
rnacentral:rRNA from 1 species